UGGUGCUCGGCUCGGCAGAGAUGACGGGGCCAGCACCGUGGGCUCCUCUGCUGGUCUCACGUUUCCGUUUGGGGUGCUAACAAGCCCAAAGAAGGGCAGCCUCUUCUGAUGAGCUGCUGGUGAAGCCCAGCGUGGCCUCUGCAAACUCAUUACCUCCCCUCCGUGCCCCAGCAUGGCAUCUUACCUCCCCUCCGUGCCCCAGCAUGGCGUCUUACCUCUCCUCCAUGCCCCAGCAUGGCGUCUUACCUCCCCUCCGUGCCCCAAAACCAGAGCAGUGCUCCAAGGUUUACGAUUUAAGCUCAGCACCCUCUACUCAAAACGUCAAAGGACACUCAACCCAGCCAUUUCUCCUCAUCCCCGUGGCCAAGGCCAUGACAGGCAGUGCCUCCCACACUUGCAUGAGGCACCCUACUCCCCCGGCCUCCCUGCUCCAUCUGGGCCUGGCACGUAUAGCCCAUUCUCAACCCUUCCCAGUGAGUCAGGGCUCCUUCCUUGGGGCCCAAGACCUCCAGGGGCCUCGGAUGGCUUAGGGUCAGAAGCCAGGGUCCCACCCAAGCCCCAUCCCCACCCCCACUUCCCUGGCAUCACAGUCUACAGCCUCCCUCCCUCCUACCCAGGCCCACAGGGUUGCCAGUCCCUGGGACAUACAUCCCCAGAUAACCCCCACCAGCCUCCCUCUCCUGUGGCUCUCCGUGAAUCCGUGGUUCCCCUCGCUGCUUCCUGUCCUCUUUGGGCAUGUGGCAGUCACAUGGGAGUGUCCACUCCCUGGCACACUCGUGACCUGUCUCCAUCCUGGACAGGAAGCUCCAGGAGGGCUGAGCCUGUCCUUUCUGCUCCUUGACUCUUGCAUUUGCAGCCCCUGGCUCUCGGUGGCGGCCCAGGGUAGGUUCUGAGUGAAGGUGUUGGGAGUGCCUCCUAUAGGGAUGGGAAGACAAGGAGGGCCUCCUGUAGGGAGGGGAAGACAUUCCUGCAGAGGUCGCUGUCCAUCAGCCACGUUCUUGUGGAGACCACUGUCCACCAGCCGCGCAGGGCUGCUCCGAGUGAGUGGCCACUUCCCGAGGACCAUGUGCCCUGGGCGCCUGGUAAGGGGCCACGCCUUGCUCAGGAUUCCCACUGUGCCCACCUGACCUGCCUUCUAUUGCCUCGCGUUUGGUUGCCUGGAUCUCAUCCGAUGCUGUGCGUGUCUGUCAGUCUCCUCAAGUCCUGAUCUGCAGCCAGGAAAGGUUCUGACAGCAUACCCUUCUUCCUGGUCAUGCCCUCUCCUGCUCUAGAGGCUGUUUAGGCAACUCUCAAUUUUCCAUGACCACGAAAGGAAGGAAAUGUUUCAAUAAUCCCAAACUAUAGAUGAGUUCAAAUAUUUGAUAUUUGGCCUUGUGAUACGUUUUAAUAUAAAACCACAUUAAGAUGUCAGUGUAUAAUAA